rnacentral:tRNA from 1 species
GACACUAUAGCCAAGUGGUUAAGGCGACAGAUUAGAAUCGCUUUGCGGAUUAUCUGUUUCCCUCUGGGAGCGUAGGUUCGAACCCUACUGGUGUCG